GUUAGUUAGUAUUUCGACAAGGAAGGAGCAAAAUCGUACGCGUAUAUAUCUUCAUUACAAAGGAAGCGCGAAUACUGGCCACGUACUGUAAUUAUUUGGAUAUCGGUCAGAAGUCAUCUCAAACAUGGGUUCAGAGUCAAGUAAAAGCUCAGGUUCAGAGCCAAGUAAAACUGGCGGCAAUUGGAAGUACAAACUAUACUUCGAUACCGAAGCUGAUUCCAAAGAUAGCGCAAAAUACGACAACAUUAAAGAUGAUGACCUUAUUAUCAAACUUAAAGCUCUUAUCGGUGCUGAUGAGGAUAUUUUGCGUGUGUAUGCAUAUGAGUUACCGCUGUCCAAAUGGCAAAUAACUAAAAUGCUGUUUUUUCAUAUGUUCGUCGUGUUUGAAACGCAAAAUUGGUGGUGGUCAAUCGAAAAACAUGCGAAUGGCAUCACUAUUCAGCGCAGUAAACUUUUAUAUGCUGUACUAUUUACAAUCAGACAGAAACCACGUGUUAGCGGCGUACAAGCGAUGCUCAGCGACGAAGGAAAUAUGACCGUGUACAACCUUGUAAAUUGGCUAUAUCUAGAUGGAGAGUUACAUAAGGAAUAUCAUUAUACCAAUAGCAACUGCAAACACUUUGCUAAAGCUAUAUUCAAUCAUGUUUCUAAAAAUAAGCUCAUUGUAUCUGCUCAUUUAACAUUUUUUCAACGAUAAAUGUCGGACAAAAUUCGAUUCGAUUUUAAGUUUUUACUUGAUUUUUUGGAUCCGGAUCUUAAUCCAUUUAUUUCAUGACUUGAUAGCUCCUUAAUUCGACUUACCUACAACUUUUGAAAUGUAUUCUAAGCAAUCUAUUAAAAAAAUAGUAUUUAAAAAAAAAUAAAGCACACACAUGGUUUAAACAUGUCUAUAACGUCUAUUGUUAGGUUUAAAUGAAAGUCAUUUUUAUUGUUGGUAUUUAACUCUUAUAAAAGGCAAAACAUAGCUGCGUGGUGACAAUAUAGCCUGAAAACUUUAAAAGAUAGCUUUGUGCUUGAUUCAGUUGCUUGUUUUAAAUUUUGUUAAAAUUAACAUGUUGAUUGCCAAUUUCCGGGUUUUUUAUGUUAGAUGUUUUAUCUCUUCCUUUUCACUAGAGGCCUUGGUAAUUUGUCAUAUGAGACUAAAUUGCCCUGCACGUCCCUGCCAUUUUCAAUCGUCAUUUAAGAUGCAUGAUAAUCCCUAACGCGGUUUGUUAAUUUUUAACUUAUUUGACGAUUUUCUGUAUCAUAACAGCUCGCGAAUGAACGUUAACUCCAACAUUAACAAACCGUCAAACAUGCAAUUAACAUGCUCCAAGUCAGUAACAACAUAACAUAAUCCACGACAGUCAAAAUAGGGAAAGCUAAUUUAACAAAAAAGUGAAAUGAGCAAUAGAAAUUAGAAGUUAACGGCUAUAAUCAAACAUUAAUAAAUCCGAAACCGAACUAUUUCUAAAUAACUUUAAAUCUUCCCAGCCUAUUUGUAGUUUUCGAUAAUAAAAUGAGUGAAACAGCUAAGGUAGUAUCUUUGAAAAUGACUACCGGUAUAUGGUUGAAAUACGUUAAAUACUUAAGCGAAUGUUGCAUGCUAGUGCAUGUAUAUGUUUUUUAAUUUUAUUCACGAGGCUGUUUGACUGUUAAUUCUAGAAUAAGGAUCAACGUUCAAUGACCUAAGAAAAUCCGUCGAAAAGAUUGAAUUGACUCCAAAACGUUGUUUACUAUCGGCAUAAAGAAAUAACAUAAUACCCGUACUUACAUGAUAAUGGUUGUCUCCUUGUAUUAUUUUCCGAAAUAAGUGCUCGUUUCUUUUUGUAUUUUUAUAUUCAAUGUACUCAAUGUAUUGCUAUGUAUAUAUAUAUAUAUAUAUAUAUAUAUAUAUAUAAGUCUCUCUCAAAUACCCACAUUUGUAUAAAACAGUAUUUCAAGUACAAAAUCUGUUAAUCAUUUAACCGAUUAAUUACAGUGACAUUAAGUGUUGAUGGAUUAUUUAAAGAAAUUGUAAGACGAAUAUAAAAGUAUAAUAAUAUAAUUAUGUUUUACAUCUUUGAUACAUAAUUACAACUCAUCAAAUGAAUAUUCUGAUUUCUUGGCGAAUUGUAUCAACAGGUGUACCCAUGUUCCGUAUUGAUAUUUAAUAGUUUAUUAUAUAUCAGGGACGUGAUUCUGUAAAUGUUUACUUAAUUUUAAGUCUUCUAGUUGUUACUUUAAAUUGAACAAUCUAACCAGAAAUGUGAUCAGUGGUUGGCAGUAAUCAAAUGUUCUCAGUAUCGUAGCCAAUAGCCCGUGUAUGUAGUAUUGUGAUAUAGAUCACCAAAGCAUGUUGCUUAUACAGAGUGAAGGCUACCGCUGUUUGUAUGUUUUCAUGUCAUUUUUGUGGAUUGUGGGGUUCAACCAAGAAUUCUUUACCAACACCUUUAAUUGCAUUCGCGUUCUUUAACGUUUAGUUGACGCAAUUUACAUUCGUCAUAGUUGUAACUUUUGUUUCGAACACAUUGAAGCAAUUUAUCAUUUACACUAUCUGACCAUGGGUCUUAUCGAUAUAGUCAUUGCAUAUUGCUUGAACCCUUUCCAUUGCCCUAGUCUUCAUUUAGCUUGUUUUCUGUUUUUAGUUGUGUGUUUUUAACUACACUAUCGUGUUUUGUUGUCUUUUAGUUAAAAGUAGAAACAAUGUAAACAUACGCGUUUCAAGAAGCCAAUUGUCAUGUGUUUGCAUGUUUGAAAUUGUCGUAUUGUCUUUUUGUUAUAUUAUGUCAUUAUUGUUUUAAUGUUGGACUCUCGUGUCAAAAUGUAGGUACAUCGUUUCCAAAAUCACUAGGUGUCAGGUGAAAAUAUGCCCUUCUCAUAGUGCCAUGUACUAUCCCUAGGCGAUAUUUCUGACGGAAAAAUGGCAUCUUAUGUACAAAUAAGAAAGUGAUACCAAGGGGGUUUACUUUAAAGUUUUAAAUUGAGCUGAAAACUUCUCCAUGUGUUAGUUUUGUAUUCACGCAUGUAAGUGUCAAUCCGAUAGUCAUGAAUGUUUCGUUCAUGAAGCUUGGUGGUUGUUGUAUUUAAUUUGGAUUAGCCUUAAUCUUGUCUGAAAAUUAAAUGUCUGUGUAUUCUUUUUUAAACAAUUAUUGUAUAAUAUGCGCAUAUCAUUAUUAAACCUGAAGAAAUCGUUAUUUAAUUGAAAUUGUCAUUACGACAUUUACAUCAUAUCUAUUAUAAAACGCACUAAAAAAUGUCACUCACUCAUCGAGGAACUAAAUACAUGAUUUCGUAGACAUUUCGAUGCCCUUGCAAGGUCAAUUGUCAAGGUUCUUACAUAUCAACGCAUGUAAUAAUGUUAAGCAUUGCAUUCACUCCAACACAUACAUUUCAACACUUUAAGCAGUACACUUAUAAAUUGUCCAUGGUCUGAUAUGCGAUGACUUCACCUUAAUUAAAUGACAUCAUGUCAUUGCAAACUUAUAAAAGCUAUCUGCAAUCCUACAUAAUGAAUAGGACUUGGAUCUAAUGUGUUUUCUUUCUCGUAGUUAGUUUGAAUACGUUGAAUCAUAUGUACAUUAAUGCAUAGCACUUUUGUCGUAGAGCGCUCGAUUUACCCUUAAGAUUGAUCGACACCGAGGGCUAAUUGAAUGUAAUUCAUGCUAUUAUAAAUUCAUUAAUAGUUCUAUUCAACAUUGUACUGGUUUACAUUAUUGCCCAUUGAUCAUAAAUAACAAAUGUUUACAAUAAACAAUUUGGAGUUGUUAUAUUAAAAUAAACUGAAUCUGAUAUCAAUAAAUUCACGUCCCUUGCUUUUUUAAAACAUUAAUAAUUUGCCUCGACAUCUUGUCUGAUAAUAUCGAAGAAAUGUUAAAUAGUAAGUACCGUUUUAAACAAAUUACCUGUUGCUGUUACAUUGUUGCUGUGAUUGUUAUAGCUGUUGUGUUGUUUUUUUGUCGUUCUUGCUAUGUGUGUGUUGGUGGGUGGGUGGGGGUUCUGGAGGAGGAUCAGAAUACAAAACUGGUUAUUUUAUUACUUAUGUGUUUGUUGAUUUGUGUUUGUUUCCCAGUAAGUAAUUGAACUGAUAAGUCCUGCGUAAUAAAAAUAAAAUAAGUGUAACUUUAUAAUAAAAUUUUAAGAAAGUGUAUAUUCUUCUUGCAAUUGUUCAUUGUUGUUGUUUAUGUUGUUAUUGUUUUGCUUUUUCAUGUUGUUGUUUUGUUGUUGUUUUUUCUGUUUAUUUUGUGUGUUUUGUUGUGGUGGUAGGGUGUAAAUAAAACACUUGUUUACUUUUAACGAAAUGUAAUUACGUCACUGGCUUGUGUAAAACAUAAGUAAACUUUGUUUGGAUAGGUGUCUGAUAAUAUUGAAGAAAUAUUUUAAAAAACAGUACCGUUUUAAAAAUUAUUUCCUGUAUAUUGUUGUUGUUAAUGUUUUUAUUGUUAUUUUGAUGUUCUAGUUUUGUUGUUGUUUUUUAAGUAUGUUUCUUUUUUCGGGGGUGGGGUACUGUAGACAAAUCUGGCUCGCUUUUAA